CUGCGGAGGCGCAUCUCCUCCGGCGGGAAGUCCCUGGUGCCCUUGGGAGGGUUCACGUCGAUCCUCUGCUGCAGGUCCUCCUCCGUGACCGACGCCGGAGACACUGCGCCAGUACGACCUCCGGCGGCGGCGGCGGCGGCAUUGUUGCUUAAGGCGGAGGCAGUAGAGAGAGAAGAGAGGGCCCUAGGGUUUGUGGCGAGGAUGGGGCAUCGGAGGAGAGCGCGGGUUAGGAGGGGCUUAU
rnacentral:lncRNA from 1 species